GAUGAACGCUGGCGGCGUGCCUAAUACAUGCAAGUCGAGCGCUUCACUUCGGUGAAGAGCGGCGAACGGGUGAGUAACACGUAGGUAAUCUACCCAUUAGACGGGGAUAACGGUUGGAAACGAUCGCUAAUACCGGAUAGGAUGAAAGUUUAAAGGUGCUUUAGGGCAUCGCUAAUGGAUGAGCCUGUGGCGCAUUAGCUAGUUGGUAGGGUAAGGGCCUACCAAGGCGACGAUGCGUAGCCGACCUGAGAGGGUGAACGGCCACACUGGGACUGAGACACGGCCCAGACUCCUACGGGAGGCUG
rnacentral:rRNA from 1 species